UUUUGGGCGCGGCUGUGCCCGUGGCCUAUUUUUGGCACACGGAGGCCGCCCGCCAAGUCUGGGGCCAUUCCGAGUCCGGCGGACGAACUUCGCCCACGCCCCCCACCAAGGCUAUAGCCCACCCGUUUUUUGGCCAUUUUUCCGCUGGGGGGUCUUGGGACCCCGACCUUCGGGGGCUGAUUUUUGGGCGCGGCUGUGCCCGUGGCCUAUUUUUGGCACACGGAGGCCGCCCGCCAAGUCUGGGGCCAUUCCGAGUCCGGCGGACGAACAUCGCCCACGCCCCCCACGUUGGCUAUAGCCCACCCGUUUUUGUGGCCUUUUUCCGCUGGACGAACUUGGCGCCCUGGCCUUCGGGCGGUUAUUUUUGGGCGCGGCUGUGCCCGGGGCCUAUUUUUGGCACACGGAGGGCGCUCGCAAAGUCUCGCGCCAUUCCGAGUACGGCGGACGAAGUUUGCCAGCCCCACCCUGCAAGGCUAUAGCCCGUCCGUUUUUGUGGCCUUUUCCUGCUGGACGAACUUGGCGUCCCGGCCUUCGGGCGGUUAUUUUGGGGCGCGGCUGUGCCCGGGGCCUAUUUUUGGCAUACGGAGGCCGCUCACAAAUUCUCGCGCCAUUCCGAGUCCGGCGGACGAAGUUGGCCAGCCCCAUCCCCCAAGGCUAUAGCCCACCCGUUUUUCUGUCCUUUCUCCGCUGGACGAACUUGGCGCCCCGGCCUUCGGGCGGUUAUUUUUGGGCGCGGCUUAGCCGGGGCCUAUAUUUGGCUCACGGUGGCCGCUCGCAAAGUCUCGCGCCAUUCCGAGUCCGGCGGACGAAGUUGGCCAGCCCCACCCCCCAAAGCUAUAGCCCACCCGUUUUUGUGGCCUUUUUCCGCAAGACGAACUUGGCGCCCCGGCCUUCGGGCGGUUAUUUUUGGGUAAUGCUGUGCCUGGGGCCUAUUUUUGGCACACGGAGGCC
rnacentral:lncRNA from 1 species